CCGGUUUGGGGCAAGCCUGGCGGUCCUCGUGGGCGUGGGCGUCCCGGAGCAGGUGCUACCGCCGGGCCUCAGCCCUGGACGCGUGUCACCCGGGGAAGCUUCUGCUUUUCCACUUGGGCCACAGACAAGUCAAGAAAAACAUUUUCUGUCUUUUGAGCUAUCUGUAGCUUUUCAAGCAAUGUAUGUACUUAUGAGCAGAAUUUGGAACAUGUAUUUUUUUCUCUCUCCUUGAUUUCUCCAGACUUCGAAAGCCAUUUGACAUGAUGAAGGCACUGGUUAUUUUACCAAGGCUUUGGCUGGAAUAGUACUUCUGGCGUAUCCAGACUGUGUUAAGUAAUUAAGGUUGACUAUAUAAAGCCAAUAAAAAAAGCCCUUUGAAAAACUGGCCAGAUACCCAUCAGUAACAUUUCCUGAUCUGUGGUAAGUAACAAAGGUCACUUGCUGACGGGUUCGGGAAUCGAAGUGUGCUUGGGGACCUCAAGAAAAGAGGAAUUUACCCAAAUGCAUGCAAGUAUCUAAUGGCACAGAUGAAACCUGGGCUCUGAAAGGCUUUCAGGAAAGUCCAACUUAAGGUUCCUUAUAAAAGAUUCCAGCAAAGCCAAUUUUAAAGGAAAAAAGAGCCUAGAUGGCCAAUAACUAAUUAUUCUUACUGCACUUUAUGCAAAUAAUCAGACCCAGUAUACUGAAGGUACAGUUUAUUUUGUCAAGUAAGUUAGUUCUGCUAUACUUUGUUUUUAGUAAAGAGAGAAAUUGGACGGGCGGUGCCUGUGGCUCAGCGGGUAGGGCGUCGGUCCCAUAUGCCGGAGGUGGCAGGUUCAAACCCAGCCCCGGCCAAAUUAAAAAAAAAAAGAGAGAGAAAUUGGAGAGAGAAAAAUGAUUCAAAGAGAAAAGAGGCUGUGGCCCACCUGUAUUAAAUCCCAGCCUUGUCUGUACUAUCAACUCAUAAAAUGAGACACAACUGUUUACUACGUUAAUCUGUUAAGUGGAACUAAAAGACUGGUCAAAGAGUAUAGAAUUAUAUACAGUAGUUAUAUUUACUCUGAAUUAUAUACAGUAGUUAUAUUUACUCUGAAGCCUUAAGACUCAACAAAGGUCGCCUGUUGGCUACACUGGAAAAAUUUGUGCAGUAUUAAAUAUUAUCUACUGUGUUUAUAUAGAUACCUCAGGAAAAAUUAAAACCUAAAAUGAGAAUUUCUUAGUAAAUGAUGUAACUGUAACAGUGUAUCCUACUGUGACUAAUCUUUAUACUCUGCUGAGUCUGCUAUCACCAGAAGCCAAGUGGCCCACUUGCCUGGACUUAAAAGAUGCCUUUUUCAGUAUAAGGCUGGCUCCAGGAAGCCAGAGGCUAUUUGCUUUCCAGUGGGAGAGACCAGUUAUGGAAACUGCAAUCCAGUACACAUGGAGCAGGUUGCCAGAGGGGUUGAAAACACCCACGAUUUUUGGAGAAGCACUGGCUUGUGACCUCCAGAAAUUCCCGGCUGAGAAAUUAGAAUGUGUGCUGCUCCAAUAUGACGAUGACCUCCUUUUAGGACACCCUACCCAAGAGGCUGCACCCAGGGCAUGGACUGUCUUUUAUGACAUCUAGAGGUGUGAGGUGUGUGACUACGAAGUGUCUAAAUGAAAGGCCCAGAUUUGCCAGUGGCAAACACGUUGUCUAGGAUUUACCAUCCAGCAGGGGUAGAGGUACCUAGGCAUGAAAUGGAGGCAGGUCAUUAAUUGCCUCCUCCCCACCACGAGCCGAAAGCAGGUUCGGAAAGUCCUAGGCCCCAUUGGCUUCUGUCGCCUUUGGAUUCCCAACUUUGCCAUCUUGGCUGUCUUGGCUAAGCCCUUAUAUGAGGCAACUAAAGAAGACGAAGGAGAGCCCUUAGAAUGAAGGAGAACAGGAACAUGCCUUCUCCCAGCUAAAGAUGAGGCUGAUAAAUGCACCUGCACUGGGGCUACCAGACUUGGACAAGCCCUUCACUCUCUAUAUCCCAGAGAGAUGAAAGAUGUCUGUAGGUGUGUUAACCCCACUGGUUGGGUCCUGGCCAAGGCCUGUAGCUUUCCUCUCUAAGCAGUUGGAGUGGCAAAAAGAUGGCCACCAUGCUUUUGGGCUCUAGCUACUACGGCUCUCCUUGGGCAAGAAGCUGAUAAGCUGACUCUAGGGCAGAAUCUCAGAGUAAAAGUACCCUACUCUGUGGUCACUUUAAUGGACACUAAAGGACAUUUUUGGCUUUCUAAUAUAAUAACACCCUGAACCAAGCCACGUUCCUUCCAGUCAGUGGAAGAGAGACUGAGCAUGACUGUACAGAAGUUAAUGUGUGUUCUAGCAGACCUGACUUGCGCAAACAACCUUGGACAUUUGCAAACUGGGACUUGUAUGUAGACUGAAACAGUUACAUGAAGGCACAAGGUGAGCAGUAGGCUGGGUAUACAAUGGUUACCUUAACAGAGACUGUAGAGGCUAAUCCCCUACCCCAAGGAACAUCGGCUCAAAAAGCUGAGUUAAUUGCCUUGACUGAAGCCUUAGAACUAAGUCAAGGGAAAAAUGUGAAUGUUUUUCUGACUCUCCAAGUACGCAGGACAUUGUUCAAGGAGAAGGGACUAUUAAAUUCUGGGGAAAAGGACAUUAAAUAUCAGUAGGAGAUACUUCAGUUACUAGAGGCAGUAUGGAAACCCUGGAAGGUGGCAGUGCUACAUUGUCGUGGACAUCAAGGAGAUGUUUCCACCAUCACUAAAGGAAACACUAGGGUUGAUACUGAAGCAAAAAGGACUGCAUCCAAACUGUACCAGGUGUCACGAGUGGCUCCCCUCAUCCCAUGGGUUCUGGAGCUCUCACCUAUCUACUCCUAGGAAGAGAAGGAACAGUUGACAGCGGCGAGGAGCCAGGAAAUGGAGGGAGAAUGGAUAAAGAUGCCAGACGAACAAGUAGCAGUCCCCCAGGUUCUAGGAGCCACCAUGGUGACAAGAGUAUUUGGUGAAGUUGCUGGGCCAGUACCUCUACAUCUCCCACCUGGCAGCCCUGGCCAAAACUGUCAGUCUAUAGUGUGUCACCUGCAGCCAGUUCAAAGUGCGCCAAGGACUGAUGGUACCCCUAGGAAUCCAAUCAUAUGGAGCAAUGUCCUUCGAGAACUUCCAGGUAGACUUUACUGAAAUGCCCAGGUUUAAAAGGAGUAAGUACUUGCUGAUGAUGGUCUUUCAGACUUGGAAUAGGUAAAAGCCUUUCCCACCAGGAAAAAAGGACUCCUGAAGUAGUGAAGUAUUGCCCAGAGAAAUCGUCCCAUGGUUUAGGUUGCCACGCUGGUUUAAAUUUGACAAUGGGCUAGCCUUCAUAACAGAGCUAGUGCAAAUAAUAAGCUAAAGCUUUGAAUAACUUAUGUGCCUCAAAGUUUAGACAGGGUAAAAUGCAUGAACAGAACCAUAAGAACAGAAAUUGGUAAAUUCUGCCAGGAAGCAAAGCUUAAUUGGAUACAGGCCUUGCCACUGGUGUUGUUCAAAGAGGCCUCUGUCAAUCCUCUGCAAUUUAGCAGACACUCCUAAAAGAACUGGGAAAGCAUGACCUGAAUAGACAAAAACCCUAGAGAAAGUAUCAAGGAAAAUAUCCACUGGGGUAAUUAACUGUGUUCUGUUUAGUCUUUUUUUUUUUUUUUUUUUUUUUUUGCAGUUUUUGGCUGGAGCUGGGUUUGAACCCACCACCUCCGGCAUAUGGAGCUGGCGCCCUACUCCCUUGAGCCACAGGCACCACCCUGUUCUGUUUAGUCUUUUGUUGUCUGUACAUCCUUUCUCUCUGGAGGAUCAUGGGGACCAAGUCUAGGUCCAGAAUCAGAACCUGGUCUCCCUGAAACCAAGGUAAAAAGGACUUUUCACCAUCAUCCUGACCACAAGCACAGCAGUGAAGGUAAAAGGAAUCCUCACCUGGAGUCAUCACAGCUGGCUGAAUAGGGCUUUACUGUCCCUUGGAAAGUAAAGGUAACUUUUAAGACAGUCAACAUGCCCUGCUCCAGCCAUAUACUGAAAGCUGACUGGUCAACGCAUGGCUGAAGCCUGAGGAAACUCCUCAAAGGACUUGUCUGUCUUAAUUGGACUUUGGACUUUGGAAAAAAGGGGUGGGGGGUUGUCACAAGGAAAAGUAAAAACUUGCAUGUAAAUUAGCCCACCACCAUGGUACUAUUAAGGCCUGAGUAGAGAACCUAAAAACCUUAGUGCUAAAAAUUAAUAUUGGCACCUGCAGAAACAAGCUGAUAUUGAGACCCCAAAUUAAAAUAUAUUGGAGUCUCAAAAGGGGGGAAUGAGAGAGGAUACCUGAGAAGGUUGAGAUCUAAGAGAACAGGUCUUCUCAAGGAGACCACAAGGCUACACCUGCAGGGUCCUCUCCACGGUGACUCAGCUCUUGGGAAUUUGUAAACUUAACUUCCUGGAACUUGGAAAUUUCCAAGUUCUGUGAAAUCCUGUAGUUCUGUAGGGGCUGGAAUAGCAUCUCCCGCUUGAUUCACACUGGCCAAUGAGAAGGGUACCUGUGGGGUGGAACAUUUUGACUGCCAAUAAAAAGGGAAAACCAAGCCAGUCUGGAGCAUGGCCAUUUGGAAUUCUUCUAUGCUGUAAGCUCCCGGCUGGUGAAUAAAGCCCUUCCUCUUAUAAACAUGGUGUUUGGGUGCUCUUUCUCUCCCUUGGGCCUUGUCUUCCUGCAACAGUUCUGUAGCCCUGGAUACAGUGCUGUGGCAUCAUAGCUCAAAGCAACCUCAAACUCUGGGGUUUGAACAAUCCUCUUGCCUCCGCCUCCCAAGUAGCUGGGACUAUAGGCAUGCACCAUGACAUCUAGCUAGUUUUUCUCUUUUUAGUAGAGAUGGGGUCUCACUCUUGAUCAGGCUGCCUUCAAAUGCCUGAGCUCAAACAAUCUACCCACCCCACCCUCCCAGAGGCUAGGUUGUAGGUGUGAGCCAGAUAGUGGAGCCAGAUAUACCCAGCCCACAAAAGGAAUUUAAA